rnacentral:misc_RNA from 1 species
GAUGAAGAACCGCAGCGAAAUGCGAUAAGUAAUGUGAAUUGCAGAAUUCAGUGAAUCAUCGAAUCUUUGAACGCACCUUGCGCUCCUUGGUAUUCCGAGGAGCAUGCCUGUUUGAGUGUCAGUUUAUUAUCAACCCCUCCAGCUUUUGUAGUUGGGUUUUGGCGGUUUGGAUAUGGAGGUUUUGCAGGCCCUUUUAAAGUGGUCAGCUCCUCUAAAAUGCAUUAGCAGAACUGUUUGCAAUCUGUAAACUGGUGUGAUAAUUGUCUACGCUAGUGGAUUGCUCUCUGCAUGUUCAGCUUCUAAUAGUCUCCCACUGAGGAGACAACUUAUUAUGAACCUUUGACCUCAAAUCAGGUAGGAUUACCCGCUGAACUUAAGCAUAUCAAUAAGCGGAGGA